GGGCGCUUAGCUCAGCAGGUUAGAGCGCCACGCUCACAUCGUGGAGGUCAAUGGUUCGAAUCCAUUAGCGCCCA
rnacentral:tRNA from 1 species